rnacentral:tRNA from 1 species
GCGAUAGUCGUUCAAUGGUUAGGAUGCAAGCCUGUGGAGCUUGAGACGGGGGUCCGAUUCCCCCUUAUCGCC